CAUGCUCCGUUUGCAUUCGUGGGCCGUACGGGGUCCCAGCAGGCGAGAACCUGUUUCAAUGCACGACAUUAACUAAGGGGGAUCCCAACUGCACAGGCAUAGUGCCUGGGAAUUUCGGUGCCGUAAGGUGGUACCAGAAUAAGGGCGGGGCAAGACCGGGACCAGCCGCCGCGGUAAUACGGGCAGCCCAAGUGAUGCCCGCUGCUUAUUGGGCAUUAAGAGUCCGAUUCAGGCCGAGCAAGUCCAUAAUGGAAAUCCACGUGCUCAACGUCUGGGCGCCCGAUAGAAACGGAAAGGGAAGGGACCGGAAAAAUCGAGGGGUACGUCCGGGGUAGGAGUGAAAUCCGUGUAAUCCUGGACGGACCGCCGAUGGCGAAAGCACGUCGCGAGGACGGAUCCGACAGUGAGGGACGAAAGCCAGGGUCUCGAACCGGAUUAGAUACCCGGGUAGUCCUGGCCGUAAACAAUGUUUGCUAGGUGUGGCUCCCACUACGAGUGGGUGCUGUGCUGUAGGGAAGCCGCUAAGCAGACCGCCUGGGAAGUACGUCCGCAAGGAUGAAACUCAAAGGAAUGGCGGGGCACCACUCAAGGGUUC
rnacentral:rRNA from 5 species